UACGUAGGGUGCAAGCGUUGUCCGGAAUUAUUGGGCGUAAAGGGCUCGUAGGCGGUUUGUCGCGUCGGGAGUGAAACCUUGGGCUUAACUCAGGGCUUGCUUUCGAUACGGGCAGACUAGAGGUAUGCAGGGGAGAACGGAAUUCCUGGUGUAGCGGUGAAAUGCGUAGAUAUCUGGAAGAACACCGGUGGCGCAAGCGGAUUGCUGGGCCUAACUGACACUGAGGAACGAAAGCUAGGGGAGCGAAUGGG
rnacentral:rRNA from 1 species